rnacentral:rRNA from 1 species
UGCGAAAGCGUGGGUAGCAAACAGGAUUAGAUACCCUGGUAGUCCACGCCGUAAACGCUGUCUACUUGGAGGUUGAGGUUUUAGACUUUGGCUUUCGGCGCUAACGCAUUAAGUAGACCGCCUGGGGAGUACGGCCGCAAGGUUAAAACUCAAAUGAAUUGACGGGGGCCCGCACAAGCGGUGGAGCAUGUGGUUUAAUUCGAUGCAACGCGAAGAACCUUACCUACUCUUGACAUCCAGCGAAGCCUUUAGAGAUAGAGGCGUGCCUUCGGGAGCGCUGAGACAGGUGCUGCAUGGCUGUCGUCAGCUCGUGUUGUGAAAUGUUGGGUUAAGUCCCGUAACGAGCGCAACCCUUGUCCUUAUUUGCCAGCGGGUAAUGCCGGGAACUCUAAGGAGACUGCCGGUGACAAACCGGAGGAAGGUGGGGACGACGUCAAGUCAUCAUGGCCCUUACGAGUAGGGCUACACACGUGCUACAAUGGCCGGUACAAAGGGUUGCGAGCUCGCGAGAGUCAGCUAAUCCCGAAAAGCCGGUCUCAGUCCGGAUCGGAGUCUGCAACUCGACUCCGUGAAGUCGGAAUCGCUAGUAAUCGUGAAUCAGAAUGUCACGGUGAAUACGUUCCCGGGCCUUGUACACACCGCCCGU